rnacentral:rRNA from 1 species
GAUGAACGCUGGCGGCGUGCCUAAUACAUGCAAGUCGAGCGAACAGACGAGGAGCUUGCUCCUCUGACGUUAGCGGCGGACGGGUGAGUAACACGUGGAUAACCUACCUAUAAGACUGGGAUAACUUCGGGAAACCGGAGCUAAUACCGGAUAAUAUAUUGAACCGCAUGGUUCAAUAGUGAAAGACGGUUUUGCUGUCACUUAUAGAUGGAUCCGCGCCGCAUUAGCUAGUUGGUAAGGUAACGGCUUACCAAGGCAACGAUGCGUAGCCGACCUGAGAGGUGGACCGCCCCCACGGAAACUAGACACCGUCCCGGCCCCUGCGGGGGGGAAGAGGAGGGGAUUCUUCCGCAUUGGGCGAAAGUUGGACGAAGCAACGCCGCUGGAUGGAUAAAGUUCUUGGUAUCUAAAAACUUUUUUAUUGGGGAAAAAAAAAUGUUUAGUAACCUUUGCACUUCUUGACGUUCCCUAAUCAGAAACCCAGGCCAACCCCGGUC